rnacentral:rRNA from 2 species
UUUGGUGGCGAUAGCAAAGAGGUCACACCCGUUCCCAUUCCGAACACGGAAGUUAAGCUCUUUAGCGCCGAUGGUAGUUGGGGGUCUCCCCCUGUGAGAGUAGGACGCCGCCAAGC